rnacentral:lncRNA from 1 species
CCCCUGUUGAUUGUUUUUCAUGUUUAUACUAUAGGGCGUUCUAAAGGAUCACCUGUUUUCUCAACAUUAUUUAUCUACUAUGAGACGUUCUAUAGGAUCCCAUGUUGUUUGUUAAUCAUUUAUAUACUAAAGGGCGUUCAAUAGGAUCCCCUAGGCAGUCUACAGGAUCCCCUUUUGUCUGAACAUUAUAUAUUUACUAUAGAACAUUCUACAGGAUCCCCUGUUGUUUGUUUAUCAUGU